UCUUAAUAUAUUCCAACAAUGCUCAAAUUGAAAUUUUCCUUUGUUUAGUUCUCGAAACAAAAUUUUUUGCAUUAACAAUCUGGAAAAAAACAAGAAAUUAACAAUAUGCAACCAAAACCAAAUCUAUACAAUACUAUAAUUCUGAACUCUCAAACAAUUUCGACAAGUGGAGUCCCCUAAUUCAGACAUGUGGACUCCUAAAACUCUUCAAUUUUAAAACGUUCCCUCAUUCAUCCGAAAAGAAACGCUUGAUCCUUCAUUUCCUUUGGCUCCUUCUGGAAAGAAACGUCUCAGACGUUACAUGCCCAAGCUGUAUCACUGAAAUUGCGGAAGUAUUUAUACCAUCUUCAAUCAGAUUCAGCUUCAGCAUCCAAUAAUAAUCCCAUCUUCUAAAGCUUCUCCAUCUUCAGCCUCCGGAAUGUUAAAACAGCUGACAUGUUUACAGAAACUCUGUAUCUCGGAAACUCAGGUCAGUCUAUUUAUUUUUUAAUCUUUAAGAUUUAUGCUGUGUUUAUGUUCCAGUGUGCCUGAAUUACUAUAUAUGCACAUAAGUUGUUCGAUUAAAUGACGUUAGAGGAUUUUUACAAAAGUAUAAUUCACCUCUUGUCCUGAAUUUUAUCACUAAAUUCCAAUGGGAAAAUGGACUAAAUUUGUGCCAAUUCAAGAAUAAAGGUCCUGCACAAAAUAAAGCUUUUUAUAUGUGAUUCAUUUGGUUAUCUGGUUAGGGGACCCCAAGAAGAUGGACUUUUAUGCUUGGUUGCCGAUGACUUGGUUACCUUUACAUAGUCUUCAAGAUUUAGAUUGCUGCUCUUAGAUCAGAUUCUACCCUUGCAAGAUAAGUAAAUCAGAGUAGGAUAUUCUAUUGCUUUUAAGCUUGUUGUUCAUAUAGUGUACCACAUUUCACUGCAACCAAUUAAAAGGUACACAAAGAAAAGUAUGCCCAUUUGGUUGCCCUGUUGUAUUUCUUAGCAUAGUUUUUAUCAUUUUCUGUAAUUUAUAGUAGAUGAGGAGAAAUAUUUAGAAACAGUUUUGCAGGAAUAAUCUGUGUAGCUUGUUAGGAAGGUUAAAUACUGCAACUUGUAAAAGUUCCUUUAUAUUUAUCUUCUACACUUGGAAUUGUUGGGAUCUCAGUAUUAACAAGUUAUCAAAUGCUGAUUGUUUGUGCUGAUUUAAAUGUAUCCAUGGAAUUAAUUAACUUGCUAAACUUAUCUAUAUGUAAGAUAUUUUUUGUUUUUUGCAUUUUCUUGGUAUCUAUUGCCAGAAAUCAAGUGACACAUGGCUGUCGGAAUAUUGUUUAUCUUGAGACAUGCAUGUAGCCUCCAAAUGAUAUGGCAUAUGUUUUAUGGUUUGGGUUUCUCUAAUGUUGGCUGUAGUAUAUGCUUAUUGAUCUAAGCACUGCAAAUGUUGCAUGGGAAGAUAUUUGUGACGGUAAUUAUUGGAGUCUCAUACCAUGUUUUAGCUGUUUGCAUUUACCCAUGUGAACCAUAAGUGCACAGUUCAAUCUUGAAGGAGAGAUGCUGACGCAUACAAUUCGGUAACUCCCCAUAGGACCCUUCUUUGCAGGAGCAUUUCUAUCAAAUAUCCAUCAUCGUGGCUGUGAGUAGCUCAACCUAAUAGCGAAAAUGUGGAGUAUUAUAUUUUGUCCGUCAUCUGUAGGACUUAACUGGGAACAGAUUUUUUGGGUGUCUUAAUCAGAGUUUAAUUGUAAGCUAAUGCGAAAAAUAGAAUCUUCAACGCUAAAUAUAGCUAAUAUGUUCAUCCCUCUUUUUUGUGAAAUAAUCAUUGAGAAUUCAAAAUAUAUGUAUCCUGACUUCAAAGGCUGCACAGAUUUUCCUUAUUGAAGAGUAGCUGCUGUCAUCCUUUUUAAGCAGAUUAUGUUGUGGAAAUGUUCUGGAUGACCUUUCAUUUCAUGUCGAGGUUGGUCAGACUAGUAGGAGCGGUUGUUGAUAUUGACAGAGCAGAAGGGCAGUCAAAUGGUGUUGGGACUAGCAGCUAAGGAUGGUGGCUUCUCUCAUGUUAUUUUGGAAAGCGAUUCUCUGCAAAUGAUUAAUGCAAUCCGAAAUAAUUCUCAAUGCAUAUCGGAGAUGAAGGAAGUCAUUGUCAGAAAUUUUGAAAAGGAUUUCCGGGACCUUAGAUGACAUCAUGCCCUUAUAAAUGGGAAUCGAGUAGCUCAUGAAACUGCUAUUAGAGCAUUGAGUGAAGACACUUUCAUGUGGAGAGAAACUGUACCUGAGUUGUUGGAUUUUGUUAGGCAGGUUAUGCAUGUGAUGAAUGGUUGCUGCUGCAGAAUGAGAGGCAACAGUGGUAAUAGGAGCUGCAAUUUUUGAAUGGGUCUUCGGUAUGUUGUCUAUUAAUAAAAAACCAUUAUCAGCAUUAAAUAUACAAUCAAUUUAUGUCAAUUGCAUAAAUUAUAUAAAUAAACUACAGUCAGUAUCUUGACAUUUCAAGAAUGCAGCCAUGUAAUGUAUUACUAUAUCUUAUGAAAUGUAGUUUUCUUUUAAGUUUAA